CGACGGCGGCCGGCCGCCCCCCGAGCCCCGGCUGCUCCCCGACUUGGGAGCGGACGGGUGGGAAGUAGCCAACAAGCCACUGUACAACAGACGGCUCCUUCGGGGGACCUGGCUGGGGCAAGCAUAUGUAACUACCCUGCUAAAUACCGGGUUAAUCUGGUUUUAGAGCGGGGGCCCCCUCCAGCGGGGGACAAGCCCGCUGCAGGACAGCUCUGCUGCUCCGGGACUUACCGAGGUCUCCGCAGCCAAAGAAAGCACCUCCGCCUCCCGUUGCUUCCCCAGCCGGAGUGGAGCCCUGCCACUGCCGCCGCGCCUCUUUUAUAUAGAGCGGGACCCGCCGCCCCAUUGGCCGAGAGUGCACUUACCCACGUGAACGCGGAUCCAAGUCGCGGAGUUGCCUUCUCUGACAUGAGUUG